rnacentral:rRNA from 1 species
GAUGAACGCUGGCGGCGUGCCUAAUACAUGCAAGUCGAACGCACAGCGAAAGGUGCUUGCACCUUUCAAGUGAGUGGCGAACGGGUGAGUAACACGUGGACAACCUGCCUCAAGGCUGGGGAUAACAUUUGGAAACAGAUGCUAAUACCGAAUAAAACUUAGUGUCGCAUGACACAAAGUUAAAAGGCGCUUCGGCGUCACCUAGAGAUGGAUCCGCGGUGCAUUAGUUAGUUGGUGGGGUAAAGGCCUACCAAGACAAUGAUGCAUAGCCGAGUUGAGAGACUGAUCGGCCACAUUGGGGCUGAGACACGGCCCAAACUCCUACGGGAGGCUGCAGUAGGGAAUCUUCCACAAUGGGCGAAAGCCUGAUGGAGCAACGCCGCGUGUGUGAUGAAGGCUUUCGGGUCGUAAAGCACUGUUGUAUGGGAAGAACAGCUAGAAUAGGAAAUGAUUUUAGUUUGACGGUACCAUACCAGAAAGGGACGGCUAAAUACGUG